GUUCUGGAAGAGCUGAUGUGGGCUUGAAGCCCCAGCUGUGAUAACAAGACCACAGUGACCCGUGACUACGUCUUGACUGAAAUGCAGGCCUUGAAUCUAAUCAUUGUGUUGAAAAGAGGUGUUGAGCCUACGAAAUGAAGGCAUGUCUGGAAAAAGAGACACAGCAAUAUGUUACAGCCAAACUAUAAUCUAAAUCCCACAAACGCAUGUCAUCCCACCUGCUAUUCGUUUCCGUCAGAGCUGUCACCCAGUGAUCUAGAAACGAGAAAGGGGAGCAACAGCUUUGAAAAGAAAUGCUACAUGGUGGGGAGUGAAGGCAGCUAUGUGGCUGAUAGCUCAUGCUCCUUGUGUUAUUUCCACCCCUUCGGUGGUACUCCAUGAAUUUCACCCCACAUCUGAGAAAUGGCUGGUUCAGCAAGCUAACAGCAUACAGAUCCUACUCUUUUCUAUUUUAACCAAAAAAAUUCCUAAGUGGUAUUCCUUAAAUCUUGAGCAACUACGAUUCCUUAAAUCUUGAGCAAAUCUUGAAAGGUCCUUAGCACUCACCAGGAACAGUGGUUGCCUCUAGGAAUGAAAUGGGAUGACGGAAGACCUGGGGAGCAGUGGCAGGAGGAGACACUCAUGAUGCGCCUUUUGGCCAUAGGUUGCCUUACUAGCUCCAUUUUGCCACGUCACUGUCAUGGCUAAGAAAGCAACUCCAACCCACACACUGCAAAUAUGAAGGACCACAAAAGGCACGCAGGCUCUGGUUUGCAUAGUGAAGAUGAGCGACCGUGUUCCUAAGCAUGAAGGACCAUGAAAGGCACGCAGGCUCUGGUUUGCAUAGUGAAGAUGAGCGACCGUGUUC
rnacentral:lncRNA from 1 species